GUACGGUACUCGAUAGUGUUCUCUCCACCGAAAAUCUCGUUUAAUGUUUAUGUACCUAACUACCAGUGUAUUGUAAUUUGUGUUUGUGAAAGAAUGUACGAUAUAUACACGGACAGUGUGCUUUUAAUUCCUUCAAACUUACAUCAUCGUUAAGCCUUGAAGCAUGACGAAGAGAAUGCACUAAUACGUACAGGUGGAUGAUUUAAGUAAAUAUUAUCAUCGGAACUAUGAUUCCGAUCGCGAAUGCAUAUUAUAAUGAGAAUGCUGACUACGCUAAAACAGAAAAAUGAUUUCCUAUUGAAGCUUCACAAUAAUAAUUUCAAUAAAAAAAUAGCUUCUUUGAAUGAGACAUACACUUAUUUACUUAUAAAUCAAUAUAUUUUGAUAUUAAAAAUAUACUUUUAAUAUUAAGAAGGUGCAUUCACUAAUAUCAUGAGGAUAUAUAUAGUCAGGCUCCAUCUUGAACCUCUUAAACACAAGUAGAUGACAAGUAGGUUAUUUUGAGGUUAUUGUGGGGAGUGUUUAUGAUUUCACCUGUAAAUAUUAUUACACUGUGAUUCUAAUUAUCAAAAAUUCCGAAAGGGAAAAGCACUCGUCUCGUUUGGAGGCAUCGAGCAAUUUCCAACACUCUAAUAUUCCAGAAGGAAAACGAAAAAAAAUUCGUUGAAUCUACUUUUUGACAGUGGAAAUCCAAUCAAAAAAUCCGUCACCAGUAUCAUCAAAAAGUACAUGUCAAGAGAAUUAGCUAUAUGAAACUUACAGCUCUGCCGUGAUUUGGAAGAACAACGUUAACUGCGUUUCGGAUAAGUACCUUGAGUCGCCUAACGUUAAAGACUUUCAGGUGACUUAUCCGAUUUGCGGUUUACGGUGUUCUUCCAAAUCAUGGCAGAGCUAUAAAGAGAAUGAAAAAUAAAUUACUUUUCAAGAACUUUUACAUGUACCCUUGUAUUCUCGGUAUGAAAAUUAUUAUUACAGCAAUUAAUCAUCAUGUAUAAUUAUUAUAAGUUAACUUCAACUUUAAUUUAAAAUUUAUAUUUUUUCAUUUUACUGGCGUUGUUUGUGAAAAAUGUAAGUCCACUGAGGAUGAAGUCUUUUCUCAUCUUGGAACGGUCUUCACUAAUUCCGAAGAUUGGAAUGGCAACCGAAAGAUAAGGCUAGCGACGAAUUAUCCGUUUCAGGAAUAAGAUUCUUAAAAUGUUCAGCUACUUGAAAUGCUUCUUUUAGAUAAACAAUUUUAUCUUUAUAAAUGUUUUCACUCAUAUUUUAUUUCUAAAAACAAUUUUUUUUAAUGUGUUUGAGACUACGAAAGUAAAUAAAGCCAAGUUGUGACCAAGUCAGUCGGUAAGUUAGACUCUAGUCGAGUUAGGCGUUUCAUUUAUGGUUUGGUCCUGUCCAAAUCCCCAAUUUGGAGCCAAGUGUAGCAACAAAAUGACUUCCACAUGUCCCAAUUACUUUAAAAAUUAUUCACGACUUGAUAUUUUAAAAAGACAUGAAAAAUACUCUUGCUAGAUGAAGAAUCUUAUGUAUGGUGAGAAACAUAUUGAUCAAAUUACUAUAUUACAUAAUUUUAUAGGGACAAUUAGUCAAGACAGCAACAAAUAGAGUGAUAAGGCCAAUAAAGCAAUUCAGCAGUGCUACUGGUAAUGAUAAUGACGAUGAAGGAGAAGAAGACGAAGGUGAUGAUGAUUAUAACGAUGAAGAUAAGAAUGAUGAUUCUGAAGGUGACUUUUCCUCUAAAUAUGAAGUAGAAGCAAGAGAAACCGCAAAAAUUGCAGAUUACUGGGACAAUCCAAACGUAUUGGUAGAUCGUUUACGUGUACUUUUUCAAUAACAAGCAGCUGGAAGCAGAAAUAAUACACUUGCAAUCAUUUCAAUCAUUAAUGAAUUAAGAGAUGCUAACAUUAUUGAAUAAUGCGUGUAAUUCGCUCCGUGCGCAAGUUACAGGCAGCGCCGCCUAUGGCUGAAUUCUCAACUUCCGUCUCGUCAAAUGUAUUGUAGUGUAUAGAA